CCAGACUCCUACGGGAGGCAGCAGUGAGGAAUAUUGGUCAAUGGCCGGAAGGCUGAACCAGCCAAGCCGCGUGAAGGACGAAGGUGCCAAGCAUUGUAAACUUCUUUUGUCAAGGGACAAAAUCAGGCUCGAGAGCCUGACCGAGGGUACUUGAAGAAAAAGCAUCGGCUAACUCCGUGCCAGCAGCCGCGGUAAUACGGAGGAUGCGAGCGUUAUCCGGAUUUAUUGGGUUUAAAGGGUGCGUAGGCGGGCUGUUAAGUCAGCGGUAAAAGCCCGGGCCUCAACCCCGGCGAGCCGUUGAAACUGUCGGACUAGAGACGGCGAGAAGUACGCGGAAUGCGCGGUGUAGCGGUGAAAUGCAUAGAUAUCGCGCAGAACUCCGAUUGCGAAGGCAGCGUACCGGCGCCGGACUGACGCUGAGGCACGAAAGCGUGGGUAUCGAACAGGAUUAGAUACCCCAGUA
rnacentral:rRNA from 1 species